GUCUGAUAAGGUCUGAGCUCCGAUUGAAGCUUUUCCCACAUUCAUGGCAUGUGUAGCGUGUCUCCUCCAAGUUGAUUCUGUUGCUUGUUACAAAGUCUGAGAGGUUACUCAAGUUUCCCUUUGGCCUGUGCAGAGUCUCACAGGCUUUUGUUUUUUCUGAGAGUGCACAACUCCCAGAAACAUACCCUUUGGAUCUUCCUGAUGAAGUUCCAUGUGGUUCUCCUUGCUCAGCAUCUUCCUGAUGGGAUUUCUCCUCCUCAUUCUGACUCACCAUCUCAUCACCUGAUGGGAGACAGAGAGAAUCCAGACACAGGUCACUACCUGCACAGGAAAGAAAAAUCUCAGAGAGAGGAAUAGUAAAAGGGAUGAACAAUCCAAAGUAUGUGUGGGAGAGAUCAAACCUAUCAGGAGCUGAUUUUCCCCAAACCCUUCCCCAGAGGAGAGAGGAAGGGAUCAGUUUUGGUCUGCAUCUCACGAGAACACUCAGGAGAAAGUGAGAUCGGGGAGCGACCUCUUGCCAGUUGUCAGUCAGAAUAGGAGGGAAGCCCUGAGUCACAUCUGCCAUUAUGAUUCUACAUCUGCAGGGAACAAUCCUGAACUUGGAGAGCUCACAAGGUCUUUGCAUCAGAGGGUAGCCGUGUUAGUCUGGGUCUG